rnacentral:lncRNA from 1 species
GGGCCAAGCACUAAAAAACUCUCAAUAAUAGUGAUAGUCAAGUUUGUAAUGAUAGAUUUUAUAUCUUUUAUAAUAUUUCUAAAAAUUACUACUAUAGAGUAUUUAUGAUAAUAAAUUUUACUGAGUAUUACUAAAAUUCUAUCACCAUAAACUUUAUUUGUGGUAGUAUACAAAACUCAUACUAUAAACUUGUUAAAAUACUAGCCCCAU